GUUAAGCGACUAAGCGUACACGGUGGAUGCCCUGGCAGUCAGAGGCGAUGAAGGACGUGCUAAUCUGCGAUAAGCGUCGGUGAGGUGAUAUGAACCGUUAUAACCGGCGAUUUCCGAAUGGGGAAACCCAGUGUGUUUCGACACACUAUCAUUAACUGAAUCCAUAGGUUAAUGAGGCGAACCGGGGGAACUGAAACAUCUAAGUACCCCGAGGAAAAGAAAUCAACCGAGAUUCCCCCAGUAGCGGCGAGCGAACGGGGAGGAGCCCAGAGCCUGAAUCAGUGUGUGUGUUAGUGGAAGCGUCUGGAAAGGCGCGCGAUACAGGGUGACAGCCCCGUACACAAAAAUACACAUAUUGUGAGCUCGAUGAGUAGGGCGGGACACGUGGUAUCCUGUCUGAAUAUGGGGGGACCAUCCUCCAAGGCUAAAUACUCCUGACUGACCGAUAGUGAACCAGUACCGUGAGGGAAAGGCGAAAAGAACCCCGGCGAGGGGAGUGAAAAAGAACCUGAAACCGUGUACGUACAAGCAGUGGGAGCCUCUUUAUGGGGUGACUGCGUACCUUUUGUAUAAUGGGUCAGCGACUUAUAUUCUGUAGCAAGGUUAACCGAAUAGGGGAGCCGAAGGGAAACCGAGUCUUAACUGGGCGUUAAGUUGCAGGGUAUAGACCCGAAACCCGGUGAUCUAGCCAUGGGCAGGUUGAAGGUUGGGUAACACUAACUGGAGGACCGAACCGACUAAUGUUGAAAAAUUAGCGGAUGACUUGUGGCUGGGGGUGAAAGGCCAAUCAAACCGGGAGAUAGCUGGUUCUCCCCGAAAGCUAUUUAGGUAGCGCCUCGUGAAUUCAUCUCCGGGGGUAGAGCACUGUUUCGGCAAGGGGGUCAUCCCGACUUACCAACCCGAUGCAAACUGCGAAUACCGGAGAAUGUUAUCACGGGAGACACACGGCGGGUGCUAACGUCCGUCGUGAAGAGGGAAACAACCCAGACCGCCAGCUAAGGUCCCAAAGUCAUGGUUAAGUGGGAAACGAUGUGGGAAGGCCCAGACAGCCAGGAUGUUGGCUUAGAAGCAGCCAUCAUUUAAAGAAAGCGUAAUAGCUCACUGGUCGAGUCGGCCUGCGCGGAAGAUGUAACGGGGCUAAACCAUGCACCGAAGCUGCGGCAGCGACACUAUGUGUUGUUGGGUAGGGGAGCGUUCUGUAAGCCUGUGAAGGUGGCCUGUGAGGGUUGCUGGAGGUAUCAGAAGUGCGAAUGCUGACAUAAGUAACGAUAAAGCGGGUGAAAAGCCCGCUCGCCGGAAGACCAAGGGUUCCUGUCCAACGUUAAUCGGGGCAGGGUGAGUCGACCCCUAAGGCGAGGCCGAAAGGCGUAGUCGAUGGGAAACAGGUUAAUAUUCCUGUACUUGGUGUUACUGCGAAGGGGGGACGGAGAAGGCUAUGUUGGCCGGGCGACGGUUGUCCCGGUUUAAGCGUGUAGGCUGGUUUUCCAGGCAAAUCCGGAAAACCAAGGCUGAGGCGUGAUGACGAGGCACUACGGUGCUGAAGCGACAAAUGCCCUGCUUCCAGGAAAAGCCUCUAAGCAUCAGGUAACAUCAAAUCGUACCCCAAACCGACACAGGUGGUCAGGUAGAGAAUACCAAGGCGCUUGAGAGAACUCGGGUGAAGGAACUAGGCAAAAUGGUGCCGUAACUUCGGGAGAAGGCACGCUGAUAUGUAGGUGAAGCGACUUGCUCGUGGAGCUGAAAUCAGUCGAAGAUACCAGCUGGCUGCAACUGUUUAUUAAAAACACAGCACUGUGCAAACACGAAAGUGGACGUAUACGGUGUGACGCCUGCCCGGUGCCGGAAGGUUAAUUGAUGGGGUUAGCGGUAACGCGAAGCUCUUGAUCGAAGCCCCGGUAAACGGCGGCCGUAACUAUAACGGUCCUAAGGUAGCGAAAUUCCUUGUCGGGUAAGUUCCGACCUGCACGAAUGGCGUAAUGAUGGCCAGGCUGUCUCCACCCGAGACUCAGUGAAAUUGAACUCGCUGUGAAGAUGCAGUGUACCCGCGGCAAGACGGAAAGACCCCGUGAACCUUUACUAUAGCUUGACACUGAACAUUGAGCCUUGAUGUGUAGGAUAGGUGGGAGGCUUUGAAGUGUGGACGCCAGUCUGCAUGGAGCCGACCUUGAAAUACCACCCUUUAAUGUUUGAUGUUCUAACGUUGGCCCGUAAUCCGGGUUGCGGACAGUGUCUGGUGGGUAGUUUGACUGGGGCGGUCUCCUCCUAAAGAGUAACGGAGGAGCACGAAGGUUGGCUAAUCCUGGUCGGACAUCAGGAGGUUAGUGCAAUGGCAUAAGCCAGCUUGACUGCGAGCGUGACGGCGCGAGCAGGUGCGAAAGCAGGUCAUAGUGAUCCGGUGGUUCUGAAUGGAAGGGCCAUCGCUCAACGGAUAAAAGGUACUCCGGGGAUAACAGGCUGAUACCGCCCAAGAGUUCAUAUCGACGGCGGUGUUUGGCACCUCGAUGUCGGCUCAUCACAUCCUGGGGCUGAAGUAGGUCCCAAGGGUAUGGCUGUUCGCCAUUUAAAGUGGUACGCGAGCUGGGUUUAGAACGUCGUGAGACAGUUCGGUCCCUAUCUGCCGUGGGCGCUGGAGAACUGAGGGGGGCUGCUCCUAGUACGAGAGGACCGGAGUGGACGCAUCACUGGUGUUCGGGUUGUCAUGCCAAUGGCACUGCCCGGUAGCUAAAUGCGGAAGAGAUAAGUGCUGAAAGCAUCUAAGCACGAAACUUGC
rnacentral:rRNA from 1 species